AUACGGAGGGUGCGAGCGUUGUUCGGAAUUAUUGGGCGUAAAGCGCGUGUAGGCGGUUUGUUAAGUCUGAUGUGAAAGCCCCGGGCUCAACUUCGGAAGUGCACUCGAAACUGUCAGGCUUGAGUACGGGAGAGGGAAGUGGAAUUCCUGGUGUAGAGGUGAAAUUCGUAGAUAUCAGGAGGAACACCGGUGGCGAAGGCGGCUGCCUGGACCGAUAUUGACGCUGAGACGCGAAAGCGUGGGUAGC
rnacentral:rRNA from 1 species